UACAGAGGUCCCAAGCGUUGUUCGGAUUCACUGGGCGUAAAGGGUGCGUAGGUGGUAAGGCAAGUCAGGUGUGAAAUCUCCGGGCUCAACCCGGAAAUGGCAUUCGAAACUACCUUGCUAGAGGGUUUGAGGGGGGACUGGAAUACUUGGUGUAGCAGUGAAAUGCGUAGAUAUCAAGUGGAACACCAGUGGCGAAGGCGGGUCUCUGGGCCGAUACUGACGCUGAGGAGCGAAAGCGUGGGGAGCGAACAGG
rnacentral:rRNA from 1 species